rnacentral:rRNA from 1 species
UAAUACGGAGGGGGCAAACGUUGUUCGGAAUCACUGGGCGUAAAGGGCGCGUAGGCGGCCUUGCAAGUCAGAAGUGAAAUCUCGGGGCUUAACCUCGAAACUGCUUUUGAAACUGCAAGGCUAGAGAUCGGUAGAGGAUGGUGGAAUUCCCCGUGUAGAGGUGAAAUUCGUAGAUAUGGGGAGGAACACCGGAGGCGAAGGCGGCCAUCUGGGCCGAUACUGACGCUGAGGCGCGAAAGUGUGGGUAGCGAACAGGAUUAGAUACCCUGGUAGUCCACACCGUAAACGAUGAGUGCUAGUAGUUGCGGGUAUCGACCCCUGCGGCUACGAAGUUAACGCGAUAAGCACUCCGCCUGGGGAGUACGGCCGCAAGGUUAAAACUCAAAGGAAUUGACGG